rnacentral:rRNA from 1 species
GAUGAACGCUGGCGGCGUACCUAAUACAUGCAAGUCGAGCGAACAGACGAGGAGCUUGCUCCUCUGACGUUAGCGGCGGACGGGUGAGUAACACGUGGAUAACCUACCUAUAAGACUGGGAUAACUUCGGGAAACCGGAGCUAAUACCGGAUAAUAUAUUGAACCGCAUGGUUCAAUAGUGAAAGACGGUUUUGCUGUCACUUAUAGAUGGAUCCGCGCCGCAUUAGCUAGUUGGUAAGGUAACGGCUUACCAAGGCGACGAUGCGUAGCCGACCUGAGAGGGUGAUCGGCCACACUGGAACUGAGACACGGUCCAGACUCCUACGGGAGGCAGCAGUAGGGAAUCUUCCACAAUGGGCGAAAGCCUGACGGAGCAACGCCGCGUGAGUGAUGAAGGUCUUCGGAUCGUAAAACUCUGUUAUUAGGGAAGAACAAAUGUGUAAGUAACUAUGCACGUCUUGACGGUACCUAAUCAGAAAGCCACGGCUAACUACGUG